CACCCCUCAAGCAUAGCUUGGUAUUGGGCUCUCGCCCCCGCGGCGUGCCCGAAAAGCAGUGGCGGUCCGGUGUGACUUUAAGCGUAGUAAAUUUCUCCCGCUUUGAAAGUUCGCCCCGUGGCCUGCCAGACAACCCCAUAUUCUUCAAUAA
rnacentral:misc_RNA from 1 species